rnacentral:rRNA from 1 species
AUUGAACGCUGGCGGCAGGCCUAACACAUGCAAGUCGAGCGGAUGAAGGGAGCUUGCUCCUGGAUUCAGCGGCGGACGGGUGAGUAAUGCCUAGGAAUCUGCCUGGUAGUGGGGGAUAACGUCCGGAAACGGGCGCUAAUACCGCAUACGUCCUGAGGGAGAAAGUGGGGGAUCUUCGGACCUCACGCUAUCAGAUGAGCCUAGGUCGGAUUAGCUAGUUGGUGGGGUAAAGGCCUACCAAGGCGACGAUCCGUAACUGGUCUGAGAGGAUGAUCAGUCACACUGGAACUUCGACACGGUCCAGACUCCUACGGGAGGCAGCAGUGGGGAAUAUUGGACAAUGGGCGAAAGCCUGAUCCAGCCAUGCCGCGUGUGUGAAGAAGUUCUUCGGAUUGUAAAGCACUUUAAGUUGGGAGGAAGGGCAGUAAGUUAAUACCUUGCUGUUUUGACGUUACCAACAGAAUAAGCACCGGCUAACUUCGUG